GUGUUUCGAUCCUUUCUAUUGUAAAUGUUUCGAUCCUUUCUAUUGCAAGUGUCCCGAUCCUUCCUAUUGCAAGCUUUCUAAUCUUUUCUCUUGCAAGUGUUCUGAUCCUUUCUAUUGCAAGCUUUCUAAUCUUUCCUAUUGCAAGUGUCCUGAUCUUUCCUUACUGCAAUUUAAUCUCUACAUUUUCUUUGAAUAUGAGGAACUUUGAAUUGUUCUAGCCUUGCAUUUGAUAUAUCUCCUGUUUAGACGUAACGAUUCGAAUAUGUGCAACUUCUGAGAUUCUGACCUUUUGAUACCGAGCUGCCUAUAAGUCUGUUGGAAACUCCGAUUUGUUCAAACCUGAUUUCAUUGGAAACUAGACUCAUAGAUCUUUCUUUUGAUAUAUGGAUUGAAAGAUUUGGAAUCCAAACAUCUGCCCAGUUAUCUGUUGAAUCUGACCUUAUGAAUUCUGCCAAACAGAGAUUUUGUUCUGCGACCCUUGUUUACCAAAUUAUUUGUAACUCUCUCUGUUGGACAGUUCAAUUCAUAUGAAACUUGUUUCAUCAUAAACUAGAUUGAAAUAUCUUUCCACAAUAGCUUUCUUGAGUAUAUUGGAGCACAAUUGAUAGUUUGAAUCAUUUGUUCAAUGUGCUUCUUGAAUUCUACCAGAAAUCGAGUUUUGGUCGAUUUCGCAUAUUCUGGUUUCAUUCCUUUGGAAAUUGAUAUCCUUUAGCUUUCUUAUUCAAUUGAGCUUUAUAUUACUGCUUUGAAUUCUUGUAUGCUCUUGUCCUUAAAGUUAUUUGCAUUCUUGAAAACUAUUGUGUAACGUUUAUGCUAUAUCGUAUUGACUCAUAUAGGCACAUGUAUAUCCUAUUGUUCUGCAUUUGCUUUCGAUAUGUGC
rnacentral:lncRNA from 1 species